rnacentral:rRNA from 1 species
UGGGGAAUUUUGGACAAUGGGCGAAAGCCUGAUCCAGCAAUGCCGCGUGUGUGAAGAAGGCCUUCGGGUUGUAAAGCACUUUUGUCCGGAAAGAAAUCCUUGGCUCUAAUACAGUCGGGGGAUGACGGUACCGGAAGAAUAAGCACCGGCUAACUACGUGCCAGCAGCCGUGGUAAUACGUAGGGUGCAAGCGUUAAUCGGAAUUACUGGGCGUAAAGCGUGCGCAGGCGGUUUGCUAAGACCGAUGUGAAAUCCCCGGGCUCAACCUGGGAACUGCAUUGGUGACUGGCAGGCUAGAGUAUGGCAGAGGGGGGUAGAAUUCCACGUGUAGCAGUGAAAUGCGUAGAGAUGUGGAGGAAUACCGAUGGCGAAGGCAGCCCCCUGGGCAAUACUGACGCUCAUGCACGAAAGCGUGGGGAGCAAACAGGAUUAGAUACCCUGGUAGUCCACGCCCUAAACGAUGUCAACUAGUUGUUGGGGACUUCAUUUCCUUAGUAACGUAGCUAACGCGUGAAGUUGACCGCCUGGGGAGUACGGUCGCAAGAUUAAAACUCAAAUGAAUUGACGGGGUCAUAGCUGUUUCCU